rnacentral:rRNA from 1 species
AAUAUUUGACAAUGGGGGCAACCCUGAUCCAGCCAUGCCGCGUGCGUGAAGAAGGUCUUCGGAUUGUAAAGCACUUUAAGUUGGGAGGAAGGGCUUUAGGUUAAUACCCUGAAGUUUUGACGUUACCAACAGAAUAAGCACCUGCUAACGUUGUGCCAGCAGCCGCGGUAAUAAAGAGGGUGCAAGCGUUAAUACGAAUGACUGGGUGUAAAGCGGGCGUAGGUGGUUCAGUAAGAUGGGUGUGAAAUCACCGGGCUUAACCUGGAAACUGCUUUCAUAACUGCUGAGCUAGAGUACGGUAGAGGGUAGGGGAAUUUCCUGUGUAGCGGUGAAAUGCGUAGAUAUAGGAAGGAACACCAGUGGCGAAGGCGACUGCCUGGACUGAUACUGACACUGAGGUGCGAAAGCGUGGGGAGCAAAC